rnacentral:rRNA from 1 species
CGGGACGGGUGAGUAAUGUCGGGGAAACUGCCCGAGGAGGGGGAAUAACUACUGGAAACGGUAGCUAAUACCGCAUACGUCGCAAGACCAAAGAGGGGGACCUUAGGGCCUCUUGCCAUCGGAUGUGCCCAGAUGGGAUUAGCUAGUAGGUGGGGUAAUGGCUCACCUAGGCGACGAUCCCUAGCUGGUCUGAGAGGAUGACCAGCCACACUGGAACUGAGACACGGUCCAG